CUGCUAUUUCAUCCUCUUCUUGAUUCUUUUUUUUCUUCUUCUUACCUCCUGCGGAUGCUUCAUCAUUACUCGCAUCCUGACUGGUGGUACCACUCAGUGUUUUCAGCUUAGCACGUAGAGAAACCAAUGACCUUUGACUUUCAACGACAUGACUGCACGAAAUUAUAACAAGUAAAAGGACUAGAAACAAUAAUCUUCUCAUCCUCUAGGUGGUUUUUCUUUUCACAAAUGUCGUCUGUUGGUUGCGAUUCUUUGUGAUUUUCUGCUUGUAUCUUUUCUGAGAAAAGGUAGUGACCAUGACUGGCUAUUUG
rnacentral:ribozyme from 15 species